rnacentral:rRNA from 1 species
AGUGAACGCUGGCGGUAGGCCUAACACAUGCAAGUCGAACGGCAGCACAGGAGAGCUUACUCUCUGGGUGGCGAGUGGCGGACGGGUGAGGAAUACAUCGGAAUCUACUUUUUCGUGGGGGAUAACGUAGGGAAACUUACGCUAAUACCGCAUACGACCUACGGGUGAAAGCAGGGGACCUUCGGGCCUUGCGCGAUUGAAUGAGCCGAUGUCGGAUUAGCUAGUUGGCGGGGUAAAGGCCCACCAAGGCGACGAUCCGUAGCUGGUCUCAGAGGAUGAUAAGCCAGACUGGAACUGAGACACGGUCCAGACUCCUCCGGGAGGCAGCAGUGGGGAAUAUUGGACAAUGGGCGCAAGCCUGAUCCAGCCAUACCGCGUGGGUGAAGAAGGCCUUCGGGUUGUAAAGCCCUUUUGUUGGGAAAGAAAUCCAGCUGGCUAAUACCCGGUUGGGAUGACGGUACCCAAAGAAUAAGCACCGGCUAACUUCGUGCCAGCCGCCGCAGUAA